AGUUUCUAGGAGCAACACCCUUUCCCUGGAGUUACUGUUCUAAUUGAGGCCUAGGUUUCUGCCAACUGCCUUUCUUAAGCAGUUGAUACACAAAGACGCACAGGGCCAGAGACUCGCUGGGAAGCAGAUUGGGAGUCACUGACUGAGGCAGCCCUGAAGCUUGCUCUUCAUCUACACUUCUAGUGUAGACACGGAAGGAUCAGAGGGACUCAGGACAUUGCCCUCAGGGGAGCUCUUGGUGCUCAAUGCCUGCAAACCUCACUUAUGCCAUGAAGGUAUUCCUUAAAGGAAACGAUAAAAAUAUCACUUUGGACCAUGGAUGCUAGUGUACAAGAUCCAUUCUUGCUCCCACUGAGCUAAGAAGCCACAUGUUCUGAAAGUGAAGAUGAGGAAUCGAAAAUUAAACAACUCGAUAAGUGAAAUACCCAGGAUUCCCCAAAAGGACUGGCUUCAAGAAGGAAAAGAUGGGUGUUGGAAAAUUUAAUGGACUGAAGAAAUGGCAGCAUUUGUUUUUGAAUGAGAAUAAAAUAAGUGAGCUGCUGUGAAAUACAGUUCUUUAUUAAGUGAAAAAAUUGCCUGGGUAUCAAAACCUUUUUACAGACAACACAGUUUAUAAAAGAGUCUCUUUUGAAUGCUGCAGAAAUUAUGUGUCCAGAGCCUCAACAGGCAUUUGUAAAUGUUAGUCUAAUGAGCAACUUUGUAGCUUGGUAUGUUAAAAAUAAGAUUGAGAACUUUCAGGACAAGUUAAUUUAUGGGUGGCAUUUUCUCUUGCAGCAAAUGAGAACACAGAUAUAGAGAAUAGCACACUGUUAACUAUAUUUAUUUGUGGUGUGGUGAGAAUUUUGAAGGGGUCAAGGAACUUCAGAAACAGGAGCCCAUGAAAGGCAAAACAUCAGGAAAUGGCUGACUCUGUGUUAUGAAAAAGGUCUCAGACCAUUUGGAUGUAGAAUGCAUUGGUCAAAGUCACCAAGUGUUACUAUAGAUGGAGCUCUCAGGAUGUGUGGAGUUAACGUCAGGCCUGUCAAGCAACAGCCCAUAGGUGGCUCUAUUUUGUAGGUACACUAUCCCUAAGUCCAUUAAUUUCCUUAUUCAUCAGAAAUUGCUUUGGGCACAAAGCUAAAAUGGGAGAAGCCAUGGAUUCAGUAAUUAACACCACUAAUUGGCUAUUCUUCUAUGUCUUUGAGCAAAAUCAGGUCAACAUUUGCUUAAUAAAUUGGCUGGCUUACUUGCACUGUGGUGCAGAAGAGAUUUUUUAACUGUUAAUGUCAUCACAGGGGAUAACCCUAUCUCUGCUUAGCAGUGAAGAUUAGCCCAAAGUCCUGAGCUUUUUGCUGACUCUACAACUUAUUUAUAUUUUUUGACUGUUUUUCUAUAGGUACAGUCACAAGUAUUGCACCAAUGUUUCAUUUGUGAGCUUCUCUCAGUCCAGAUAAAGUUAACUUUUUGGGAAAUUCAUUUGUAAAGGAAUAAUUUCAUCUACUUUCCUACGUUGUGAUCAGUUUCCAGAAAUGAAGAUGAUACCGUAAAAUUUAUUCUCUAAAACUAUGCCAUUGAAAACCAACUUCUAAAAAUGUUCUCGGACUUCAAACUUUAUGAAAAUAAAAUAAUAUUAUCUAGCUUACCUUCCUUAUUUUUUGAUAGCACCUAUGUUGGGCUAUGAUUAGACGUUAUCAAACUGUAAUGCAAAAAUGGUACUGAAGUCUAUUUGAAGUCUAAGUAGAACAAUGCUGAAAGCCAGGAUUGUACACACAUUUUGGAAGAGGUGAUUCUAGAUAUAAGAACCAUUUACAGUAGUAAUUCCAUCCAUGUUAGGAAGAGCCUAUGUUUAGGAGCAGCUCGACUCCAAAAUUAAUCUGAAAAAAACCAACCACCCUCCUGGCUUAAGUGUUUAAGGCUGCAUUCUGUACAUCACAGUGAAAAAUACAGGGCCUGAAACAUGUUUUGGUACAGAAAAAAAGAUGUGAGGUUUCUGAUUCCAAGUCAAAUCAGUAAUGAAUUAUGAAAUAAAAAUAUAGCAAUAAUUGUUUUCCUUUUACAAUUAGUUUUUAAAAUUUAAUAUAAAAUGGCAUACAAAUAUUAUAUAUAUUUACAUUAUUACAUACCUAUACCAUAAUUUAAUAAGAAUAAAGUGUUUGCUUCC